CAGCGCCACGAGUGGGGACCAUUGUUAUUUGGCCUAAAGCGUCCGUAGCUGGUUUUGAAAAUCUUUUGUGAAAUCGGACAGCUCAACUGUUCGGCGUGCAGAAGACACUACAAGACUUGAGACCGGGAGGGGUAUGGAGUAUUCUGGGGGAAGCGGUAAAAUGCGAUAAUCCUCGGAGGACUACCUGUGGCGAAGGCGCCAUACCAGAACGGAUCUGACAGUGAGGGACGAAGGCUAGGGGAGCGAACCGGAUUAGAUACCCGCGUAGUCC
rnacentral:rRNA from 1 species